AGAGAGAGACAUGCGCGCAUAUCAAUAAGCGGAGGAAAAGAAACUAACUAGGAUUCCCUUAGUAACGGCGAGUGAAGCGGGAAGAGCUCAAAUUUGAAAUCUUAAAGGUUUUCCCUUGACGAAUUGUAGUUUAAAGAAGUGUUUUCGGUUAGAGGAGUAGUAAAAGUUCUUUGGAAUAGGACAUCAUAGAGGGUGAGAAUCCCGUAUUUGACCUAUUAUUUCCAGCUUUGUGAUACACUUUCAAAGAGUCGGAUUGUUUGGGAAUGCAGUCCAAAAUGGGUGGUAAAUUUCAUCUAAAGCUAAAUAUUGGCGAGAGACCGAUAGCGAACAAGUACCGUGAGGGAAAGAUGAAAAGAACUUUGAAAAGAGAGUUAAACAGUACGUGAAAUUGUCAAAAGGGAAGCGUUUGACACCAGUGUUGUUUUUCCGAAAAUCAAUUACGAAUGUUUUAUUUUUGAGAGAGUUAUGACUUCAUCGGCUUGCUUCUUUCUUUACGAAACUUUCUUAAUGCACUUUUCGGUUAACAAGUCAACAUCAAUUUCUUUUGUUGUAAAAGAGUAUGAGGAAGGUGGCUUUCUUUUCGGAGAAAGUGUUUAUAGCCUUGUGCCUCUGCAAUCGGAGAGAUUGAGGUCUGCAGCGUAGAUCCUUCGGGGUUAGAUACAUUUGUGCUAAGUUACAGCUUUUCAUAGACAACUUGUUGACUAUGAUCAGUCAUGUAGCUUACUCGCUUAUGCUAUUUUACCUACGCUUAGGAUGUUGACAGCAGUAUAGACUGU
rnacentral:rRNA from 1 species